rnacentral:rRNA from 1 species
CCUACGGGAGGCAGCAGUGAGGAAUAUUGGUCAAUGGACGCAAGUCUGAACCAGCCAUGCCGCGUGCAGGAAGACGGCUCUAUGAGUUGUAAACUGCUUUUGUACGAGGGUAAACGCAGAUACGCGUAUCUGUCUGAAAGUAUCGUACGAAUAAGGAUCGGCUAACUCCGUGCCAGCAGCCGCGGUAAUACGGAGGAUUCAAGCGUUAUCCGGAUUUAAUGGGUUUAAAGGGUGCGUAGGCGGUCGGAUAAGUUAGAGGUGAAAUCCCGAGGCUCAACUUCGGAAUUGCCUCUGAUACUGUUCGGCUAGAGAGUAGUUGCGGUAGGCGGAAUGUAUGGUGUAGCGGUGAAAUGCUUAGAGAUCAUACAGAACACCGAUUGCGAAGGCAGCUUACCAAGCUACUUCUGACGUUGAGGCACGAAAGCGUGGGGAGCAAACAGGAUUAGAUACCCGUGUAGUC